GACGAACGCUGGCGGCGUGCCUAAUACAUGCAAGUAGGACGCAGUUGCGAACGGGUGAGUAACGCGUAGGUAACUACCUAUUAGAGGGGGAUAACUAUUGGAAACGAUAGCUAAUACCGCAUACUAGUAGAUGGACCUGAGUUGUAUGAGCUAGUAGGUAGGGUAAUGGCCUCACUAGGAAACGAUACAGAGCCGACCUGGGAGGGGUAUCGGCCACAAUGGGACUGAGACACUGGCCAGACCCCUACGGGAGGCAGCAGGAGGGAAUCUUCGGCAAUGGGGGGAACCCUGACCGAGCAACUCCGCGUGAGUGAAGGAGGUUUUCGGAUCGUAAAGCUCUGUUGUUAAGGAAGCGGUACUUAACCAGAAAGGGACGGCUAACUACGUGCCAGCAGCCGCGGUAAUUC
rnacentral:rRNA from 1 species